GCAGGGGAAAAAGGGGGCCACGCGUGGCGUUUUGCAUGUACCUUGCGAAUAAGGAUCGGCUAACUCCGUGCCAGCAGCCGCGGUAAUACGGAGGAUCCGAGCGUUAUCCGGAUUUAUUGGGUUUAAAGGGUGCUCAGGCGGGGGAUUAAGUCGGCGGUGAAAUUUUGCGGCUCAACCGUAAAAGUGCCUUCGAAACUGGUUUCCUUGAGUGUGGAUGAAGUAGGCGGAAUUUGUGGUGUAGCGGUGAAAUGCAUAGAUAUCACGAGGAACUCCGAUUGCGCAGGCAGCUUACUAAGCCAUAACUGACGCUCAAGCACGAAGGCGUGGGGAUCAAACAGGAUUAGAUACCCUGGUAGUCCACGCAGUAAACGAUGAUUACUGGCUGUUUGCGAUACAAUGUAAGCGGCUGAGCGAAAGCGUUAAGUAAUCCACCUGGGGAGUACGUUCGCAAGAAUGAAACUCAAG
rnacentral:rRNA from 1 species